ACCUUAGUGAAUAGUUUAGCAAACUAUUUCUUAAAACAUUUUUCAUUCAUGGUAGAUACUUGCAAUGUAUUGUAUGACUGGGAAGAAGAAUAAACAUAUAAGAACUUGAAGAUAAUGGCCAAGCCAAUGGAAAGAAUUUCCAGGGAAAUAUAUUCCCUUAUCCUGCCACUGUACAGAAGAGUAACAACCAACCAGCCAAUCAACAGAAGGGAAAAAAAAUUAACAACCAAUACUUUCAAGACCAUCUCAUUAAUAAUCACAGGACUAAGCAGCGUUCUACUUCAAUUCACUGCUUGA
rnacentral:lncRNA from 12 species